AGGGUUGGCCACCUUGAGAAGCUGCGAAGAUGGCGGAGUAAGGCGUGCCGCUGCAAACUGGCCUCUGGGCCGGGGGCGAGCAGCCCCCGGGAGGCCGAGUGCAUCUGUUGGACCGUGCGAGGUGAGCCGAGAAGGCCAGUGACGGUGGGACGAGCAGGCGCCGAGGAGGUGGCGUGGCCCAGACGGGCCGGGUACGGAAGCGCGCAGGAACCUGCGAGUUGCGGGCAGCCGGCCUCGGCCUCGGCUGGGCGGGGGUUCCAACCUCGGCGGCUCCAGGGCAGCCGUCACCCGCCUUCUGGGAGAAGAAAAAAAAUAUCGGCCAGAGGAGAGGAACUAACCGAACAUUCUUCCUCCCUACCUUAUAGAGGGGAGUGGUCAUCUACACUAAAGCAAAGUGUUAGGCGCGUCCGUGCGAAGAGACCACCAAACAGGCUUUGUGUUCCUUAUCACAGGAAGAAAAUUUUCCUUGACCUUUAGGUGCUUUUAUAUUCAUCUCAAAAACAAAAUUCUGAACUCAGGACUUGGCAAGUGUCUCUAUGUUGUCUCCUAGAGUGGGUAGUCCUGCUUCUUUUACCCAGUUACUUUCCCGUUUUUGAAAUGUGGCUAUCACUUCUCUACACAUUACCUCCAUGAUUUGGAAUGGAAAAGGCCACUUUUCUUUUUGUUCUGCCUCUCAAAUUCAACACAGAGGAGCUCCUAGGAUUCCAGUUAUCCUGCUAACAUCUCCAGGAAGAAAGAAGCAACUCACAUGGGUCUUUUGCUGUUUGCUUAAUUAUAAAGACAUCAUUUUGCAAGCAGAAGGCUGAGUUUCAUUUGAAACAGGUGCUUAGGUGGUGGUAUUUGUGAAUACUUUUCAUUCCAAGCAAGAAGACUAAAGAAGUAGCAAGUAUGAAUGACUUCAGGGUUUAAAAAAAAUGUCUUCCAGUUUCAGCCACUACCAUGAUAAGCACAGUUGAGACUGCAGCAGUAAAUUCCAAAUAUGUGUUUCUAAUUUGACGUGAAAGAUACUAAAAAUUUAUAUUUGUAUAUUUAAAUCCUGGCUCAUCCUGUGACAUAGAUUUACUGAAUAGGAACAAAGGCCCAAUUUUAAACAAAAACCUAGGCCGGGUGUGGUGGCUCACACCUGUAAUCCCAACACUUUGGGAGGCCAAGGCAGGCAAAUCACCUGAGGUUGGGAGUUUGAGACCAGCCUGACCAACAUGGAGAAACCCCAUCUCUACUAAAAAUAGAAAAUUAGCCAGGUGUGGUGGUAGAUACGUGUAAUCCCAGCUACUCGUGAGGCUGAGGCAGGAGAAUUGCUUGAAUCCGGGAGGCGGAGGUUGCAGUGAACUGAGAUUGCACCACUGCACUCCAGCCUGGGCGACAGAGUGAGACUCCGUCUCAGAAAAAUAAAAAACAACUUUGGACAUAGAGGAGUUGGGGGCAGAGGGGGGAGGAUGAGAGAAUUUUCCAUGUAACUCCUUUUCCUUAAGAAAAAGAAGCAAAAAUCCCUCAUGCAGUGCCAUCUGACUUUAUGGUGUUUCACAUUAUAUAGUUACUUUUUUUAAUAAACGCAUAAGAUUAACUCUUCCUGCAACCCAAGGUGGAUACUUGGAUGUUUGAUUUUUAUUUAUUUAUUUAUUUAUUUUUUGAGGCAGUCUCUCUCUGUUGCCCAGGCUGGAGUGAUGCGUGAUUUCUGCUCACUGCAGUCUCUCCCACCCGGGUUCAAGCGAUUCUCCUGCCUCAGCCUCCCAAGUAGCUAGGAUUACAGGCGCGCACCACCACGCUCAGCCUGAUUUCUAGGCUGAAAAGGCUGGGACUCAGGUACUUUCCCCAGUUGGGACUGAACUUUCUCAUCAGAGAAUGGGCCUCAGAAGCAAUGUUCCCAAACUUGUGGUUGGGUCAUCGUGGAAAAGAAACCUCAAAUAAGAAAAAUAAUUACAAUAAGAAAUGGAUUUUCUUUUUUCCCACAACAGUUAUACAUUAUAAAGAACAGACUGUCGUAGAAAACUGUCUUUGCUUCCAAAUCAGCAGAGGACCAUUGUAUGUAUUGUCAGGUCUUUAUAUAAGAGUGAAACCUUUAUUUAUGCUUCUUGUGAGUAGAGAAUAAAUUUUAAAACUAAUUAGAUGAAAUUAAGAACAGAGUAUUGGAACAUCUCUGUGUUUUCCGGAAUGUUUACUCAGGUCCAUGAAUGCUGUGAUGCUGGGAACUUAGGGAAGAUUCACCAAAAUUUGAGAGUGAUAAAAAUGGCCUAAAAUGGGAAAUGGUGAGCACUCUUAUUAUUAGUGAGAUUGGUCAAUCAGCCCAUUUGAAAUGGGUAAAAAAUACUUUCAGUAAAAUAAUUACAUAUUAUAUAUAAAAUAUUUCUUUUUUUGAGGGCAGCUACUGAGUGAUAAAAGCAUAGUAGAAAUCACUUUGGUUAAAAGUAACUCAAAUUUUUCUCUUAAGUAAUCUACCAACUUCCUGAUGUUUUUCUUUAAUAUUUUGGAACUGUUCAAGACAGAAUGGAGCCUACAUAUAUGGUGUUCCACUAGUAUGUUGAAAAUGUCAUAUCAUGGAGAAUGGAGACACCUUCCAGGUGUCUGUUAAACCCAUCUUCUCUGUGUACUUCUGGCAUCUUUUUUGGUAGGAUCAUUUGGCAGGGGGUAGAGUACCUGUACUUUUGGCACCAUUGAAACCAGCUCUGGCCCACUUGUUUGAAUAGCUAUCAGACUCAGCGUCUCUAUAUGCUUUAUAUACAGUUGAGAGAACCAGUGUUUAAUGCUCUUGAAAUUGUAUCUUCCAUGCUUCAGACCAGAUGCAUUUAACAAAAUGGAUAUAUUCCAGCUGUAGUUGCCCAGUGUUUACUUAACACAUCUACAUUUUUUUCUUGUCUAUUUUGGUCCCCUUGAUAGGAAAAGCUAUAAUUUUAGGCAGGACUAUACGUCGAUUUGUAGCCAUGCUUCCUUCCUUUCCCUUGCUCAUCCAUGUUAGCUGGCAGUUUUUCUUUUGAAAAGUUAAAACCGGGAUAUGUGCAAUAGAAAUAUAUAUAUAUAUAUGUAUAUUUUAAUACUUGUGGACAAAUGUUACAAGUUGUUUAAGAACAACAAAAUCACCAAUGUCUUCCAUUUUGAGAUGUGUAUAGUUUUGUAAGCAUUAGUGCUUGGUAGCAUAUUGUAGUGCCAUGUUAGGGGUUAGUGCAUGAGUCUAGUGAUUUUAAACUUCAGGAUGAAUUAUUGAUAAUAACAAAUAGUGUAAAAAGAGUGGAAAAUCUAAACCUUUUCUUUUUCCAUAAUGUCUAAAUCUGUUAUAUUCUUCCUGGGGAAAAGAGAUUAAGGCCCAAAAGACUCAUUUAUGAAUAGAAAUGUGGGGUCAAAAUCUGAGAUACUAUAUUUGAGGACAUUUCAGCUUUCCAUAAGGUAUCUGGAAACCAGCUGUCUUUGUGUCUUAUGAAACCUCAAGUCAAAAUGAGACCGCAUUUAAUUAUUCUGCUUUGCUCUUUUUUUGGGGUGGGGGGGAGAUAGAGUUUCACUCUGUCACCCAGGCUGGAGUGCAGUGGCACAAUCUUUGCUCACUGUAACCUCUGCCUCUUGGGUUCAAGUGAUUCUCGUGCCCCAGCCUCCCGAGUAGCUGGGACUACAGGCACGUGCCACCACGCCCAGCUAAUUUUUAUAUUUUUAGUAGAGACGGGGUUUUGCUGUGUUGGCCAGGCUGGUCUCAAACUCCUGACCUCAAGUAAUCCACCUGGCCUGCUCUUUUCAUGUCUUAACAUGGCAUGUCUUUUAGUUUCAUUAUUUUCCUACUCCUUGUAUGUCAAGAAAUUACAUUUUGCAUGUCUUAUGGAGAUGCUGUUAAUUGCUUCAGUGAGUGCUUUUCUAAUCUGCAGACCAUUUACAUUUCCUGUUUGCAGCAUGCUGUGUGCAAACACUCAGUAAUUUGGAGUAUUCAAUUAUUUGUUAGGGCUCUUCCUAUUUCCAAAUGUGCUGAAUUGUCUAUUGAUGGGAUUUUCAGAUCUUUUCAUGAGAACUGGAAAUGUAGCUGGGUGGCACCUACCUAGGUUGCUACGUAGUGAGUAGACUUUCUCUUGGGUAUAGUAAGCCUCAGACAGCUUUCACUUUUAUCUACUUUACUUGUGGAAAUAAAACAGUCAUUUUGUUCUGAAAGAAUAAGAUAGCUUUCUGUAGAGAAGGAAUUCCUACCUCUAAAAGCUGCCUUGAGAACUCAGAACUGGCAGUUUUCUGAGGUGAUUUUUAAAUUUCAGUAUUAGGGAGAGUCCAGCAUUUGCUGACACAGAUUCUACAUAACUAAUGUAUGAUAGCAAAUGCAAAACUAUUAUAAUGUGGUGUAUCUUGCGCAUACACAGGUUAGAACAAGUAGACUCUGGCAGCAGAUCUCCAGAGACCCAAGUUUAGGUUCUCAUAGUGUAUUUGAAGUAGUUAUACUCCUGGCUUAAGUAGUUUAGUGCCUGGGAGAAUCCAUUACUGAAAAGCAUUUAACUUAAAAAAAAAAAAAAAAAAAAAAAAAAAAA
rnacentral:lncRNA from 1 species